rnacentral:misc_RNA from 1 species
AACUUUCAGCAACGGAUCUCUUGGCUCUCGUAUCGAUGAAGAACGCAGCGAAAUGCGAUAAGUAAUGUGAAUUGCAGAAUUCAGUGAAUCAUCGAAUCUUUGAACGCACCUUGCGCUCCUUGGUAUUCCGAGGAGCAUGCCUGUUUGAGUGUCAUUAAUAUAUCAACCUUCUCUUGUUGAGUUGUUUGGAUGUGGGGGUUUGCUGGCCUCUUUAAAAGGUUUUUCAGCUCCCCUGAAAUGCAUUAGCAGAAACAGCCCUGUUCAUUGGUGUGAUAACUAUCUACGCUAUUGAAUGUGAAGGGCAGUUUGGCUUUCUAACGGUCCUUGGACAGCUCAUCAUUAAUGUGACCUCAAAUCAGGUAGGACUACCCGCUGAACUUAAGCAUAUCAAUAAGCGGAGGCU